CAGCAGCCGCGGGAAUACGUAGGGUGCAAGCGUUAAUCGGAAUUACUGGGCGUAAAGCGUGCGCAGGCGGUUAUGUAAGACAGUUGUGAAAUCCCCGGGCUCAACCUGGGAACUGCAUCUGUGACUGCAUAGCUAGAGUACGGUAGAGGGGGAUGGAAUUCCGCGUGUAGCAGUGAAAUGCGUAGAUAUGCGGAGGAACACCGAUGGCGAAGGCAAUCCCCUGGACCUGUACUGACGCUCAUGCACGAAAGCGUGGGGAGCAAACAGGAUUAGAUACCCCCGUAGUCCCUGUCUCUUAUAC
rnacentral:rRNA from 1 species